GCUUGUUUAUUUUGUUUUAACCAUGGUGUGUUAAAACCCACAAUACCUAUCCAUACCGAAAAACAAAAUUUGCAGCUUGCACUAACCAACAUAGUUUUUUUUUCCUGAAUUUACACUUGCAAUACAACAUACCAAAAUGGAUGCGGUAGUUACAUGGAGUAAUUAGGCUGUUGAAAAUAAUAUGUAAAUCUAUCGAUGCUCCAAGUAUAUAUUAAUUAAAAGCCAACCUAGUGUAAUUUUAAUUUAAGAAUAAUAUAGCAUUGACCCUGCGAUAUACUUGUAUGCGGAUUUUCUCAGAAUCACACUUGCUUCGCUAUUUUGUACACCGGCACGCUCUCUUCCAUACUAAGCAUAUGUUGGCUACUUCAGUAGCACCUAUCCAUAUCUUCACUUUGCUAGGAUAUCCGCUGGAAGAGAAGAAAUGGUGUGCAGUGUGAUGGCCACGAACAACAAGACCUGGACCAAAAUACCGAAGAUGAUUCCCAUCCAAAGGCCCUGCCCACC